AGCACAGUGCAACAACGGAGGGUAGCCGACAGCACAGCAGGCUCCAUCCAGGGGUGUUUUUUUUUUCCUCUGUGCAAAAGACCCUUUUUCACCACUUCGGUUGUGAAAACCUUGUCAGGCUACAGUUAAAAACUGUUUUCCUUCAUGGAGGUUCGUUGUGAAUAAACUGCAAUCAUUGUUGAGAUUCAGUGCACUGAUUGAAGAUUUUCUAACUAUAGUUGCUCUGUGGCGUCGUGCUGCCGCCACUGUGAGACUUCAGGAGAGGCCUGUAUUUUGUUGCCUUUGGUCAGGUUUUUUUUUGUUGUUGAUAUUGGUUGGAUUGGACAAACGAAGAUUUCAUCCAGGGAUGGCGAGCCACUCCACCAGGACCCAUAGUGAAGAUUUCUGGAUUUGAAAGUACUUUGAGUUUCCCUGGAUGAACUGUGAUCCACAUUGUUUCUGCCUGUGUGGUAGGACAAAACCUGCACUCACCUGCUCCUCUGUGCACACCACUUGGAGAACAAGGAAUUGAAACCUUCGCACGUAUUAGUUAGGUGUUUACAAAGACUAUCAAAAAAUCCCUGGGGUUUAGGUUUAUGUUUCGUUUAUUAUUUGUCUCAUUUUGUUUUAUGGGUCCCUGAUUUCCUUUUGUAAUAUUGCACAUAUUUUAAGAAGUGUGAAUAAUACAUUGUUAUUACCUCAAACAUCCCGUCUCUGUCUCAUUAGUUACUCAUUCUGAUCCAGUAGCCAAACCUUCAUAACUGGUCCAUCACCUGAGCUUUUAAGCUAAACACUUGAUCAAUUGGGUGUUACAUAUGAUUAUGAAUUUCAAUAAACUGCUGUAUGUUGUGAAA